AACUUUAUAGUCAAUAAAUGAUAUUAGACUGCAAUUCUAAAGGAGUGGUAAUCACUAAAGUUU
rnacentral:tRNA from 2 species